AAGGAGAGAUAGUAUAAGACAUUUUUGUAGAACACCGGUUUGUGUUACUUGUCCCAGGAAACUUGUGUAGUACCGGACUUCAUACCAGGCCUCCAGAGAUCCGGGUCGCUUGUGCAAUAUACUAUGUGUUGUUGGCACUCCGUCGCUUACGACGUCGAGGGUUCCAGUUGAUCCGAUCAACGGAACAGCCUGCUCGUGAAAUUAACGUUCAAGUGGCUGAGCACUCCACAGACACGUGUACCCUUAACAUAGUUCUCAGGAGAGAUUCAGCGUGACACAGUGCGACAAGGCUGACCCUUUGAAUUACAGGCACAACAGAAACAGGAAGUAAGAGUGAGAGAAAGUUGUGGUGGAAGAGUAUAGCAGGGUUCACCACCAUUCCCUGCCGGAGCUUCGUGGAGCUUUUGGGUGUUUUCGCUCAAUAAACACUCACAAUGCCCGGUCCUAACCACUGGGCCAUUGCGCCUCCACGCAAUAUACUAUACCCUGUAUUUAAUACACAGACACUCUUUUUGAAGUUGUUUAAUUUGCAUACGGUGUGCUAAAAUAAUUUUAUCCAUUACUUUUGGACAAAAUUUACUUCUAGGUUGCUGAAGAUUAAACUACGCUACCGCCUCUUUCUCAUUCAGGAAGUUCUUCAGCUUGCAGAAAUACGUCAAUCCUUGGUCAUUCUUCAUUAGGUGUGGCAUUCAGAAAGUCUUAGACGGAAUGGACCAGCAAUUUCGGGGCGUUGACUGUUAUAGCACCACUGCUGAAAAAGGUUAUCCUUCAGCGAGUACCUGACAAGAGUACUGAGAAGCUACAAUAAGGAAAUGUUUUGCCAGGAACAACACUUUUUACUGAUAAAGGGGCAAGCUAUUGUAUUGUCCACUAACUUGGAUGUAUUCACCGAACGGCGAAUCAUGCCAAUUACUUCCUUGAUCCAGAUCCCGAGGUCUGCACUAACCAUAUUGGUUUCACAUGGGGCGCUUAGAUCAGAAUCCCACCCAUCAAAAGUCUCUUGAAGUGGUUCGACGGAGGAUAUAAAAAAGGGGCGGAGGUAAAAAAAUACGUACACUACCCGUUUUUUUGCGAAACAAAAACGCUAACCCUAACCAUAGGGUGUACGUAUUCUUUACUUUUGCCUGAAAAUGGAAACAUGUCGACGAAGCUAUGAACCGUAGGUUUAUCCGCCGUAAAUUCUAACGAUACAGUAUUCUGAACUCAAUGUGUUCUCAUAUACCAGAUUAUGGUGUGAUGAAAGAGUUUGCCGCAAGAAAUUUCCAGUGCGAACAUAGAUGCAUUUUUUCCUCCAUGAGAAAUUAUCUCUCGUUCAUAUGAGAUGGC